rfam:Brachypodium distachyon strain Bd21 chromosome 1, whole genome shotgun sequence.
CAUAUACUCCCUCCGUCCAACAAAAGAUGUCUCAAGUUUGUCAAAAUUUGAAAGUAUCUAGACAUGACUUAGUGUAUAGAUGCAUUCAAAUUUAGUCAAAGUUGAGACAUCCACAUCCUUUGUUGGACGGAGGAAGUAUAUU